GGCACGUCUGGUAGCAUCUUUGGCUGCUGUUGACCUUGUUUUUGGAGUAAAACACGGUGGAAGCUGAAUUAGUGAGGAUGACUCCUGCUCCUGUCAUCUCUAAGCUCCUCACACAUCUUUACCUGCACAUGAGGAAAAUCACUCCUGUAGAAUGCAGAUGUUCAGAGGGAGAUGAUGCCACAUCUGGUCCAGCUGAUGGAAGGUCUUGAAGUUCUCUGACUGGCCUCGACUGAAGAUGGUCGUCUCACUGGAUUUAAGGUUCAGAUGCUCAGUAACAAACUCCACCAAUGUGUCAACAGGGAAGCUUUAGGUUUAUUAAAUGUUGCUAUGAAGGUUUCACUGUUUUUCUUUGUGAAUGCAAUGUGCUCCAACUGAAACUUGAAUUAGAACUUUGAAGUAAAUCCUUCCAUCUGAAAGGAUUUAGUUGCAUUAAUAACCUCACAACAUUCUAAUUUUUAUUCCAGUCUUGGUUGGAAAUAGAAUCUCUGUAUUGAUUCAGGUAAAAACUGAACUUCACAGCAUGUUGGAGCAAAACAACCAGAUGAAAACUGUGAUGGUGUUGGAUUGUCAGACCGUAAUGUUGCAGCUCAAAGCAGCUUUUCUAGCUCAGUUCAUUCUGACAUUCAGCUAUGAAUCAACACAGCAGAUGGUGAUCCAUGCUGUGGAAGUCUCACAUCUCCUGAUUUAAUGGAGCUGCUUUGCACUUUUUACACUGUUUAUUCACCAACACUUUAUUUAAUAAAAGUCCCAUCUAGUUUUUAUGAGGAAUGUGAUGUUUUAAUUUCUCUGUGAAUAACUGCAGUCUAAUGCAACAGCUGGAGUUGUAACAUCUGUCCUGAUAUUGAUCAUGAAGUAUUGAUCAGAAUACUUAUGGUCAGCAGUCAUCCCUGAAGUUUUACAUUGAAAUCUUUACUUGUGUUGUGAACUUUGGUAAGAAAAAGAAACGUUAGCGUUGCCAUGGAUACAUGAGUGUUAAAUUCUGUCCAUGUUUCAUUUUGGGAAAUGCAGUCCAGUUCCAGAAUGUGGAGGAAUUUAGUCUCAAUCACAGACAACAAAUAUUAUCUGAAAGUCAGGUUAUUGUUGUUUAUCAGCACAAUACAAAAAGAUUAAUGUUAGAAAUAUUCCAGUUAAGACUCUAGAAUAUCAUGAUUUAUGUAAAUUUACCUCAAUAAUAUGAAUGUUCAGGUUAAGAUUGUGCAGUGAUAUUUAUUAUGUAAGUUUAGCUGAUUAAAGUUUAUGACUCUGCACUAAAAUAUUAUUUAAAUUGACAUCAUUAUUAUAAUAUUUAGGGUCAGACCCUACAGUAUUGAGAUUAAGAAAUCAAAUAUUCUAUAAAAUGUAAAUACACUGAACUCAUUUGGAUAUAUUUAAGUGAGACUCUACAUUAUUUGACACAAAUCUAUCUAAAUCAAAAUUUUAAUAAUUUUCAUGCCAAACAUUUACUGGACUGAUUUAAAUAUUAAAAUCACUUCUUUCUAAUCCUCUGCUGUACGUUCAAACCUGAGGCCUUAAAUAGAAACACACAAGUAUCUGAUUGAAGGAACUUCUGCAGAGUCCUGGUUCCAGAACAUGAUGAUAGAAUUAUAGACAAACUUUAACAAAAGCUGCCUGAGAGUUUACAGGUUUUUAUGUUGGAUUUCUUCAGUAAUUUAAUGAGUUAUCAGCAAAAAUCAAGUGUUCAUUUGAUGAACUUCAUUUCCUAAAACAUCCAGAAUUGGAGCUCAUAUCUUUGGCAGCUGUAAAGUUUCUGCUCCUUCAAAGUUCACAACACAAUGAAUGAAUUCCUAAAACACUCUCAAUGCUGGAGAGCGUUUGUGAUGCUGAAGCAGUGACCAGUUUUUCUGUUUCUUCUCUGGAGAUGCACAAUGAGGGACGUCUGCAGAGACUGAGAAAGAGUCUCACCACAUCCUGACAUGAGGAAAAAGACUUUAUUGAAGACUACAAUGAGAAAAACUAUCAGACAGCAGACGGCUGCAUUCAAGGUGAGCUCUGAACAUUUGAUCUGGAACAGGAAUUCAAUAACGGCAGCAUGAGCUUCAUUUCAGUCUGUAGCUGCUGAAUUCAUGGAUGAAUCAUCUGGCACUAGAGAGGAAGACCAUCAAACAUCCAUGUCAGCUGAUGGAGGUCCAAGAGUCUCACCAAACAACCUACAGAGUGAAGACCUCGAAUGUGAGUGGAUGGCCUCCUAUUCAGCCACAUGUGUGAACAAAUGCCUCU